AGGUUAUUGGCAAAGUGUCAGUGGCGGAGGAUCGUAAAGACGCCGUAAAUCCGUCCCUGGAGGCUCGAGCCGCGCCAUCCUUGGCGCGGACGCUUU
rnacentral:ncRNA from 1 species